rnacentral:tRNA from 1 species
GUGCCGGUGGUGUAGGGCGUAGCGUUGCUGCCCGGAAAGCAGAAGGUGCGGGUUCGAAUCCCGCCUGGGAGA